rnacentral:rRNA from 1 species
CCUACGGGUGGCAGCAGUGAGGAAUAUUGGUCAAUGGCCGGAAGACUGAACCAGCCAAGCCGCGUGAAGGACGAAGGUGCCAAGCAUUGUAAACCUCUUUUGUCAAGGGACAAAAACAGGCUCGCGACCCCGACCGAGGGUACCUGAAGAAAAAGCAUCGGCUAACUCCGUGCCAGCAGCCGCGGUAAUACGGAGGAUGCGAGCGUUAUCCGGAUUUAUUGGGUUUAAGGGGUGCGGAGGCGGUCUGUUAAGUCAGCGGUAAAAGCCCGGGGCUCAACCCCGGCCAGCCGUUGAAACUGGCUGUCUUGAGAUGUAGAGAGGUAUGCGGAAUGCGCAGUGUAGCGGUGAAAUGCUUAGAUAUUGCGCAGAACUCCGAUUGCGAAGGCAGCAUGCCGGCGGCGAACUGACGCUGAGGCACGAAAGCGUGGGUAUCGAACAGGAUUAGAUACCCGGGUAGUC